ACCAAACAAAGAGUCACGACGAGUUCAUGAUGAAUUUCACGACCGUGCAUAAUUCAAUCUCGUUCUCAAUUAGCGUGGAGAAAGGUUGUUCAUUCGUCGGUUGUUACAUGUGACAAAGUGUCGCCAAUGGUUGAAUCUUUCCCCUGCAGCAAUCUCGUUUGACAUCGAUGUUAAGGUGGAAGAGAAUUUCACUCGAAAUGUGACCACCCUUUUUUCUUGGAUGCACUUCAAGCCGAAGGUAAAUAGAAGCAAGUUACAUUGCUAACAAAGAGGGCACAUACACAGCACCCCCAAUCGAUUGGCAAAUAUGCGUGUAUUGAGUGUUUCGACCGAAUGGAGCGGGAGAUAGUGGAAAAAAAGAGGAAAGUCAAUAAUGUGCACAGGUUGACGGCAGGACAAAAAUAUAAAAAAAAUUCAAGAAAACCAAGUGAACAAAAUAAAUUUGUCUUUAAGUUAUUCUUUUUUUUUUCGCGUAAUUUUUUUCCUUCCCCAAUCCGUCAGUAAUUAUUAUUUUUGUUUUUUGUUUUUUUAAUAGUGAUAAAUAUAUACGAAAGCAACAGCGAAUGAAUACAUAAUUUCUUUUUGUUGUUGUUGUUGGGAUGAACGUGAUACGAGAAAUCGGGCGGGUUUUUACGAGGACGUGUGUUCACUAACACAACUUGUUCGAUCGAGGAAUUCUGAUUUUUUAAAUAAUAAUACACACACACACAAACAAACAAUCAAAUACGCGUUAUGUUUUCAAAAUUAGUUAAGUUGUUUUUGAGAUGCUAUGGGAGAGAACGGUGCUAAACACGUUGUUAUACAUACACACACGAACACACGGCGAUAUUUAAAAUGGCUCAAUGAGAAGGAGAUAAGCCCAAAAAAAAAACGGAAAAUUUUCAAAAUAAUAAGCGGUACUUAAUUUCUUUUGCAACAUUCUUCUUUGAUAUCGAUUCGAAUGUCUCAAUAGUAGUUAAUUAAAAA